AACAGGAUUAGAUACCCUGGUAGUGCACGCCGUAAACGAUGAUAACUAGCUGUCCGGGCACUUGGUGCUUGGGUGGCGCAGCUAACGCAUUAAGUUAUCCGCCUGGGGAGUACGGUCGCAAGAUUAAAACUCAAAGGAAUUGACGGGGGCCUGCACAAGCGGUGGAGCAUGUGGUUUAAUUCGAAGCAACGCGCAGAACCUUACCAGCGUUUGACAUGUCCGGACGAUUUCCAGAGAUGGAUCUCUUCCCUUCGGGGACUGGAACACAGGUGCUGCAUGGCUGUCGUCAGCUCGUGUCGUGAGAUGUUGGGUUAAGUCCCGCAACGAGCGCAACCCUCGCCUUUAGUUACCAUCAUUUAGUUGGGGACUCUAAAGGAACCGCCGGUGAUAAGCCGGAGGAAGGUGGGGAUGACGUCAAGUCCUCAUGGCCCUUACGCGCUGGGCUACACACGUGCUACAAUGGCGGUGACAGUGGGCAGCAAACUCGCGAGAGUGCGCUAAUCUCCAAAAGCCGUCUCAGUUCGGAUUGUUCUCUGCAACUCGAGAGCAUGAAGGCGGAAUCGCUAGUAAUCGCGGAUCAGCAUGCCGCGGUGAAUACGUUCCCAGGCCUUGUACACACCGCCCGUCACACCAUGGGAGUUGGGUUCACCCGAAGGCGUUGCGCUAACUCGCAAGAGAGGCAGGCGACCACGGUGGGCUUAGCGACUGGGGUGAAGUCGUAACAAGGUAACC
rnacentral:rRNA from 1 species